AUUGAACGCUGGCGGAAUGCUUUACACAUGCAAGUCGAACGGCAGCACGGGGGCAACCCUGGUGGCGAGUGGCGAACGGGUGAGUAAUACAUCGGACCGUGCCCAAUCGUGGGGGAUAACGUAGCGACAGUUACGCUAAUACCGCAUACGAUCUACGGAUGAAAGCGGGGGACCGUAAGGCCUCGCGCGAUUGGAGCGGCCGAUGUCAGAUUAGGUAGUUGGUGAGGUAAAGGCUCACCAAGCCGACGAUCUGUAGCUGGUCUGAGAGGACGACCAGCCACACUGGGACUGAGACACGGCCCAGACUCCUACGGGAGGCAGCAGUGGGGAAUUUUGGACAAUGGGCGCAAGCCUGAUCCAGCCAUUCCGCGUGCAGGAUGAAGGCCCUCGGGUUGUAAACUGCUUUUGUACAGAACGAAAAGGUUUCUACUAAUACUAGGAGCUCAUGACGGUACUGUAAGAAUAAGCACCGGCUAACUACGUGCCAGCCGCCGCGGUAA
rnacentral:rRNA from 1 species